AUUGAACGCUGGCGGCAGGCCUAACACAUGCAAGUCGAACGGUAGCACAGAGAGCUUGCUCUCGGGUGACGAGUGGCGGACGGGUGAGUAAUGUCUGGGAAACUGCCCGAUGGAGGGGGAUAACCACUGGAAACGGUGGCUAAUACCGCAUAACGUCGCAAGACCAAAGAGGGGGACCUUCGGGCCUCUCACUAUCGGAUGAACCCAGAUGGGAUUAGCUAGUAGGCGGGGUAAUGGCCCACCUAGGCGACGAUCCCUAGCUGGUCUGAGAGGAUGACCAGCCACACUGGAACUGAGACACGGUCCAGACUCCUACGGGAGGCAGCAAUGGGGAAUAUUGCACAAUGGGCGCAAGCCUGAUGCAGCCAUGCCGCGUGUAUGAAGAAGGCCUUCGGGUUGUAAAGUACUUUCAGCGGGGAGGAAGGCGAUAAGGUUAAUAACCUUGUCGAUUGACGUUACCCGCCGAAGAAGCACCGGCUAACUCCGUGCCAGCCGCCGCCGUAA
rnacentral:rRNA from 1 species